CUUGAGUCUUUCCUGAAGCUGAGGACCGCGGCUGUCUGAGGCGCUGCCUGAAUAUCCAUCGCCACCUCUUCGCUUUUCACUAUCCUCUCUGCAGCUGCGGCCAAAACUGGAGGGCAAAGUGUUUUCAACAGUCAUGCUUCGGAGCACGUUAUGAGCACGCCCUAGUUCCGAAAGCGGCAGUCGGGUAGGUUCUGGUCAGGCGGCGCGGGCGACGCCUCAGUGGAAAAGUGGCUCUCUGGGCCUCAGUGCCCAAUCUCCGCCCCACCACCCCACGUGGUUGGAGGUUUCCAGAAUCGCUGCCACCACCGCGCCGCGCUACUCCCGUCCAGCCGAGCGCUUCUUUGCUUCUUCCUAUUCCCUAGGUCUAGCGGUCAUGAUAAGCGCUAGCCGAGCCGCAGCAGCCCGCCUCGUGGGCGCCGCAGCUUCCCGGGGCCCCACGGCUGCUCGCCACCAGGUAAGAAACUGUCGGGCCUUCCCGAAACGGCUCACGGUCUCAGGACCCAGUAGGGCAGGCCGCGCCCUUCAGGGUUAGGUUCUUCAAGGGAAAAUCACGAGGGAAAGAAGGUAACGGACUUAAGUAUUUAGCGUUGCCGGCUUAAGGCCUAGUUCUGGGCCCUCUUCCUCUGCCCUUCGGGUCCUGCUGAGUCACACUACUCGUGAUCUAGUCUCUUAUCCCACGAAUUACGAGGUGGUGGUCCUAACAGUCUGUUCUGUGUCUGGUUGGAUAGGUUUCGCCUUGGGUGAGGGAUGCAGCCUGUUGGGAGGGAGCCGCUAGUAUACGUUUCAAUUUCACCUGAGUCGAAGGAUAGGUCUUCCUUUGUGCAGAGUAGUGUGUGUAGGACCCCGGUGGUGUGGUGAAUAAAGGAAGAGAAAUGCCUGAAGAAAUCCAAAAUCAAAUUUCAGCUUCAGUUUUCGUGUUUAGGAACACCUUCUGAAAAUUGUACUCGUUUGUACUUCAGAAAAGUAAGGACAAGAAAGAAGGUUGUGGUUGCUCUUCAUCUAAAACGAAAGUUACAUCUUUGGUGAAUGGGAAUUGAAGCUAUCCACCGAGACGUGGGUUUAAUGGAAGGCUUGAAAGUAGUCCUAGGUUAGAUGUUAACAAAGUAAUAAAACGUCUUUUAUCCAGAUGGAAAGCUUCUGCCUAACCCCCCUCCCCCUUUUUUAAUGGCUCUACAAUAUUAAUACCGUGACAAGGUCAGCACAAACUUCUGAGUUACUUAGAAUCUGAGUACACACACAUUCAGGCUGAUGCAUAAAACUCUUAAAGAAAUCAUUAGAACAAGCCUAAGUUUAAUUAUGUUGUUGAUGACUGAUGCAACUGUUUUUUAUUUUUUAGGAUGGUUGGAAUGGCCUUAGUCAUGAGGCUUUUAGGUUUGUUUCAAGGAGAGAUUAUGCGUAAGUAUAACUUAAUUUCCUUUGACAGAGGACACAUAUUAGCGGUCUAUUCCUUUUUUAAUAACCUAGUGAGAAGCACUACUUCAACCUGCUUAUUUAUAAUGUAGUGUACCACUAUUUUGCUCCCAUAACAAAUAUUUGUAUUUCCUUCUGUUGUUUUGGAGUCCUUCUGUUGUUUUGGAGUCCAGUAAUAAGGUAAUAACUAUGACAUUGUUUUAAAUGUCUUACAGAUCAGAAGCAAUCAAGGGCGCAGUUGUUGGUAUUGAUUUGGGUACUACCAACUCCUGUGUGGCAGUUAUGGAGGGUAAACAAGCAAAGGUGAGCAUGAUAAAGAAGCUCUGGGUCACAUAGAAAUAGCUAGUGUCCACUCCAGAAUUAUGUGCUUUGGGGCUUAGAUGGGAAUUCUGAGGUUUGGUUUGCAUUUUAAAAGCUGCUUUUGGUUUCUUAAGAUUUGUGAGGUGAGAAUCUUUGUGAUGCUGAUAAUUGAAUGAAUUUCACUUCCCUAUGGGAUUGAAAAACAUUCACCUGGGACAGAGGCCAGACUGGCUUGCCGUGUAAUAGUGCAGCAGUUUUUUAAAUAUAUUGAACCAAGAUGAGAGGUUGCAGGCUAGAAGCAAAUGGAGUCACACAUGCAAGAGCUUUCUAGAUAAAGGCUGUUACUCUGAAGCCUACUUAACUCUUUGUAUGUAACAUUUUUAUUCCCUCUGGGUUGUUACCAAGAUUUAGAGCACCUGAGAUUCUACAGUCUUGCCUCUUCCUACAUGGGCUUUAAUGCGUUUCCCUCAUGUCCUUGUCUGAAACACUAUGUAGAGGAGUCUUUCUCCAUUUGUUUAGUAUCAGUAAUCCUUUUUAGUGUAUAUUUGUGCUUCUUGGUAUAUAUUUUACAUGCCUGAAAUUUGUAGCCAUCACAGAAAUGUAAGAUUUAAUUUUCUAUGCCGAAGGAGAGGUUAUCUUUUUCAACACUGAGUUUGAAAAACCUGAUGAAUAGUUUUUCUACGACUUUUUGUUAUUAGUUGUGAGUUAUUUCAAGUUAUAGGUUUAAAGAUACCAAACUGUUAAAUGCUUUCAAGAGUUGGUAUUUACUGAGUUAGAAUUCACAGUAGUAAAGCAUGCCAGUUAAUGCUGUAUUUAAACUUUUGUGAAAUAGUUGCUGUUAAUAUUCUGGUGGGCUGGAGUUGUAGCUCAGUGGUAGAGCACAUGCCAAGUAUGUAUGAGGCACUGCGUUCAAUACUCAGCACCACAUAAAAAUGAAUUUUAAAAUAAAGGUAUUGUGUCCAUCUACAACUUUAAAAAAAAAAAAAGAUGCUGGUGGUUACUAGAAUCUUAAUUCUUAUUUUGGGGACUUUAGGUGCUGGAGAAUGCUGAAGGUGCCAGAACCACCCCUUCCGUUGUUGCCUUUACAGCAGAUGGUGAACGGCUUGUUGGGAUGCCAGCGAAGCGACAGGCUGUCACCAACCCAAACAAUACAUUCUAUGCCACCAAGCGUCUCAUUGGCCGGCGAUACGAUGACCCUGAAGUACAGAAAGACAUGUGAGUAAUAGCAAAAAACAGUUAUUUGCAAGGGCCACACAGAACACUCUUAGCACUUUAAGAUCCUCAAAACAUCUUUCUUUAGUGGAUUACAUGUUGGGAGUCAAGAGAGGAAUCCAUGCCUCUGAAGUAGGGGUUCAUCCUUUCUUACAACAGAAACUUCAUUUUUGCCUUCUUGAUUCAGUAUUUGCUGUUUUGAUCGUGCAUGUGAAGGUUUAUGAGAUAUUCCUGAACUUUGUGAAUCAAUGGCAGAAUAAGUUAAUGGCAUAGGUUCUAUCGUGUAUUGAUCAAAUAUAUACAGAUACAGGGCAGGGCAAUGGGGGGGGACACUUGAGUUUGCUUUUAUUUCGGGUUAAAAAUACCAGACAUGUAGAGUUACCCGUUUUUGUAUAAUUUUUUAAAAAAUAUUUUUAGUAGAUAUUCACAGUACCUAUAUUUUAUUUUUUUGUUUUGUUUGUUUUAAUGUGCUGGGGAACGAACCCAAUGCCUCAUGCUUGCUAGGCAAGUGCUUUACCACUGAGUCACAACCUUCGCCCCAAUUUUUUUUUUUUUUAAUUGGUUUGUUGAACUUUAAUUGGAGUGUCAGUUCUAUAGUAAUCAUUGGGUUUUGUGACUGUUUUUUUCCCAGUUAGGGUAAUUUAAGGUUCAUCCUUAUCUCGUGGCUUAUAUCAAUCUUCAUUUCUUUUCAUGACUAAAUAAUAUUCUGUAUAGAUAUAUACAUUUGUUUAACCAUUUGUCAUUUGAUGGACAUUUGGGUUAUUUUCACUUUUGGCAUCUGAAUGAAUGCUACCUUAAGCAUUCAUGUACACAUUUUUAUUAUUUUCUAAAGAUUUUCAUUAAAUGAUGUUAUGAAAUUAUCCUUUGUUCAUGAGUCUCUUGUGGGGUGGAUAGUGGACAUUUGUGACAUAACUUUGUUAUGGUAGUUAUCUCAUAUAAUUUCUAUGUGGCUUUCAGUAAAAAUGUUCCCUUCAAAAUUGUCCGUGCCUCCAAUGGUGAUGCUUGGGUUGAGGCUCAUGGAAAACUGUAUUCUCCAAGUCAAAUUGGAGCAUUUGUGUUGAUGAAGAUGAAAGAAACUGCAGGUGAGUGUUCACAUCUGGAAAAGUUUGAAUAUUUUGACUUACCUGAGAUUACCCUACUGUUCUGUAGCUGAGUCAUGCCCUUUGUACAGAAAACCUAGGAAAGGCAAAACUCUUAUUAUUCACUAUAUCAACCUCCCUAAUUUCACAUUUUCCUGAUACUAUGUGGGCUUGCUGCUUUUGUGUUGGAGAGUUUAGCAUUGAAUUGAAAGUCAAAAGGCUAUGCCGUAAGCUUUUGCCCCUAUUAAGCUUAUAACUUUUGCAUUUUAAAAACUAGUGGCUGUUUUAAGUCUAAAGGUCAUUGUGACUUGGUGAACCUUCACUAACAUACUAGAGGUGAGAUUUUUUUGAGUUUUCAGCCAGUGUCUUUAAUUUUGGAGUAUUUCUUAAAAGGUCUGUCUCAUGUUAAUUACUUGCUAAAACAGUGACCUGUUGUCUUUGGCCUUAAAAGGAUGACACAGGUUGCAAGGCUAUGUUAAUAAUUCUGUUGCUUGUGUUUUGUGGCAUAAUACCAUGAUUAAAUUUAUUCUGAUUCUUUUCCAGAAAAUUACUUGGGUCACACAGCAAAAAAUGCUGUAAUCACAGUCCCUGCUUAUUUCAAUGACUCACAGAGGCAGGUGAGAUCAGUUAGCUUUCUUCUUUACAAAAUGUUGCCUGGGACACAAGGUAGGGGAAAAUGCUUUUAUCUUUGUUUUCUCUAGGCCACUAAGGAUGCUGGCCAGAUAUCUGGACUGAAUGUGCUUCGAGUGAUUAAUGAACCCACAGCUGCUGCUCUGGCCUAUGGUUUAGACAAAUCUGAAGACAAAAUGUAAGUUUGUAAAUACAGUCCAGCCUGGAUGCAUGAAACUAAGGUCAUGUAGCCAUGAGAUUCAUUCUGAAUCCUCAUUGAGCUUUGUUUGUAUUUAGAGUAAUAAUAUGCUUGCUUUUCCUUCAAGUUAUUUAAGAUCAUUCCAUUAUUUACUUUGGGGCCUUGGUCAUUUAUUUUUCUCUUGAUAUUCAUGUUGACAAUUAUUUCUCCAAAACCGGGUUGAGUGCUGUCUUAACUGAUACUAAAAAUCGAGUUCAUUUUCUCUCUGCAUUUUCCAUGGUUUUUUUAAAUCAGGGCCUUGUGUUAAUGUGUGCUCAAAUGUCACUUAGGCAUGUAUCAUGAUUAUACUUUAAUAGCUAAGUUUAACUUCCUUUGGUUGUUGAAAUUCAGUCCUUGGGAUAAGUUCUGUACCAUAAGGCUUUCUUUUUCUUUCUAGCAUUGCUGUGUAUGAUUUAGGUGGUGGCACUUUUGACAUUUCUAUCCUGGAAAUACAGAAAGGCGUGUUUGAGGUGAAAUCUACCAAUGGGGACACUUUCCUUGGUGGUGAAGACUUUGACCAGGCCUUGUUACGACACAUUGUGAAGGAGUUCAAGAGAGAGGUUGGUUACCAUUGUGGUUAAUAAGUGUGAACUUGGGGAAUUUGAGAAUUUCUUUGUUCAGAAUACUCUUGACAUAGUACCUUUAUUUUAUUUAUGUGGUGCUGAGGAUCGAACCCAUGCCUCACGUUUUUUUUGUUUGUUUAGAGAUAGGGUCUCACUAAGUUGCUUUGCAUAUCUCUGUUGUUCAGGCUGGCUUUGAACUCUCAAUCCUCCCGUCUCAGCCUCCUGAGCAGCUGGGAUUAUGGUCGUUUACUAUCACACCAGGCUGCUCUUGGCUUUUUUCUACAACUUUUUGCUCUUAACAACUACUGAAAUAAUUGUGUUUCACUUUGAUGGGCAAUGAACUAUUCUGGUUAUUGUAGCUUUAGAAUGGGAAUAAUGUCAAUCACUAUAUAGUAUUUGAAAAGGCAUUAAGGGAUUCCUUCUUUGAAUUAGGAGUUCUAGAGCCAGAAAGAGCUGAAAAUCAUUCAUUUCAGUCUCCAGACUCCAGGCAGAUAGAUAACCGUUUAAGAAUUAAGUUUUCUUCCCCACAGAUUUUUACGAUUAAUGAAAAGUAAUUUAUGUUAGCUUAUGAAGAUACGGCUGCAUUUCAUGGUGUUUUGCAUUGUUACUGCAACUUCAGUAGUAUUUAUCACCUCACUAAUGGUAAUAUCAUAUCAUCACUUUGUAGACAGGGGUUGAUUUGACCAAAGACAAUAUGGCACUUCAGAGGGUUCGAGAAGCUGCUGAGAAGGCUAAAUGUGAACUCUCCUCAUCUGUUCAGGUAAGAUGUGGGAAAAAUCCUAGCAGUGUUUAUGGUUGUACUUAACUUGAAUUUGUUUGAAUAGUAUAUUCUGUUUGUCCCAAUGGAAGUGUAAUCUCUUUACAGUUUUUUGGUUCGUAAAACCUUUGCCAUGAACAAAGGAGCAGUGCAGUCAUCUAGGUUUUUAUUUUAGUUUAGUUUUUGAUAGACCUUUAUUUAUUUAUACGUGGUGCUGAGAUUUGAACCCAGUGCCUCACACAUGCCAGGCAAAUGCGUUAACCACUGAGCCACAGCCUCAGCCCCUCAUCUGGAUGCGCUGAAAUUUUUUAGCCACCAAAAUAAGAGGUGGUAUGUACAAAUGACAGAUCAUACAUUUAUUUACCUUUAAAUUAUUUUAGGGCUGGGGAUGUAGCUCAGUGGUAGAGCACUUCUCGAGCAUGUACAAAGCCCCAAAUUUGAUUUCCUUUCUCCGCUCCCAAAAUUGAUUUUUUGUGUGUGCCACAGUGGAACCCAAGGCAGGUGCUCUACCACUGAGUGGUUCUCAGCCUAAUACAUUGAUUUAAAAAGCUAGCCUAGCAAUGUGCAGAAUUAGAAUCACUAGCCUGAAAAAACUGCUCUUUUCACUUAAAAUUGAGUACAUGUCCUUGUGAAUCUUUUAAGAGUCUAAUUGCCUCUCAUUUAAUAAUUCGGAUUAUCAGACUAGAAAAUGCUGUGAAAGAAACCUGGUUCAAGUCUGAGGCAUAUGCACCUGUGUUUUUCCCUCUGAGCAUCAAAUUUGCUCAGCAUCUGUUUAAGAUGUCAGCACAUUUGGCUUUAGUUUUGAGAGGUGAAACUUAAUUUUGCCUUUACUCUCAUGUUGGAUCUGGGUUCAGACCCACCAAGGUGGAAGUCCUGUAAUCUAUUUCUGAGUUCUUCGGUGACAUCAGGAAAAGCAGAGCAGUGACUAGUUGAUCAUCCAUAGGGAAAAGUUAUUUAUGAUACUAUCCUGUUGAUAAAGUGAUUGUUGCUCAUUAACCUGGAUUCUCUGGCGAUUGAACCCAAGGCACAUACAUGUUCUACCACCAAGGUAAUCUGUAGCCCCCCAGAUCUGGAUUUUUUUUCCCCUCUACUGGGUAGUGAAUCUAGGAGCGCUUAACCACUGAGCCACAUCCCCAGCCCUUUUUUCUCUUAUUUAGCAACAGGGUCUCACUGAGUUGCUAAGGGCCUCUCUGAGUUGCUGAAGCUGACUUUAAACUCAAAAUCCUCCUGCCUCAGCUUCCUGAGCUACUGGGAUUAGAGGCAUAUACCACCACACUUGGCCUAAAUCUGGAUUUUUUAAGUGGUUUGUAUGGAGUAACAAAGUUGUGUACAGUCAUUCUAAAUGUUGUUUCAUUUCUGCUUCAGGUAGUAUGGCAGAACUUCACAAUGUGGUGGUUAGAGAUAGGGUUAAAGUAUUUGUCACUAAACUGCCAGCUAAUGCUUCCCAGGACACUUUGAAGGGCAGAGUGCUCGAAGAGACUGGUUUUAAUGUGACUAUCCCAUUGAUAGUUGAUAUUAUAUAUUAGUAAAUGUCAAACCAGAAAUGAUAUAAAAUAGAAGUUUUGUGUGAUGGUUUUAGGGGCUGGGGGUGUUGUUGCUAAGUGCUCCAUCACUUGCUGGCAUGCACAAGGCCCUGUGCUUGAUCAUGCACUGAGAAAAGCAAAAGAGUGAUGGUUCUCCAGGCAAACUGCUGGGGUUCCUUAUUUUAUCAAUUAAAUGCAUGAUCUUGCAUGAAUUAUUUAUCUUAAUCUCUUGGAUAAUACUAGUACUUUUGCUGUUAGAAUUGGUUUCAGUAAUAAAAGUAUUAUUGUUGGGUAUGGAGGUGCAUGCCUAUAAUCCCAGUGACUUCUUAGAAGAUCAACAGUGUUUUGGUUUUUUUGUUGUUGUUUUUUUUUUGUUUGUUGUUUUUUUGGUACCAGGGAUUGAACUCAGGGACACUUAACCACUGAGCCACCUCCCAGCCCUAUUUUAUGUUUUAUGCCUCACGUUGGCUGAGAUUGAGGCUGGCUAACUCCUGCCUCGGCCUUCCGAACCACUGGGAUUACAGGCAUGCACCACCACACCUUGUAGGAAUUUUGUUCUUGAGGGUCCAUUCUGGGACACUUCAGAAAACUGUGGGGGGCGGGGGCUGGGAAUUGAACUCAGGGCCUUGUGCAUGUGAGGCAAGGACUCUACCAACUGAGCAAUAUCCCCAGCCCUAGAAAAUUCUUAGUAACACAUUAUAAGAUCCCAUGUUUCAUUUGGGAUUUAUAAAAUACUGGAUGUUACACAAUGGGACUACUCACUGCUCCGCAUUAAUGUAAUGGCAGUAUAAGUCAAUUCUUGUAAUCUCUCUAAUAAGUGUAUUUCUGCAGCUUUAUUAACAUAUAUAAACUUUCUGGAAUGUAUAAAGCUCAGGUUAUUUGAGUGCAAACUUAAGGCAUAUGUACAAAGAAUAUUUUUAAAACUUGGUUUAAAAAAAUGUGUGCCAGGCACAGUGGCACGUAUCCAUAAUCAUAGGUACUUGGGAGGCUGAGGCCAGGAGGAUUGCAAUUUUGAGGCCAGCCUGGGCAACUUGUCUAAAAAUUUUAAAAAGGGCUGUGGGCAAUGUAGUUCAGUGACAGUGUCUCUAGGUUCACUGUCUAGUAUUACAAAGAGGGGGCAAAAAAAAAAAAAAAAACCUAAAACAGUAGUGUGGUUUUAAAUGUUAAGUGGCAGAACAAUUCUUUCUUCUGAAUGGGGAUUUCCUUGUCCACUCCAUUCUUAGUUGUCAAUAUAUAUAUAGACCUUAUUAAGAAGGAUUUUGAAAUGUUUGUGUCUAGAAAGAUAAGUUGUAGUUACUGCCUUUGGUUAAUCAAUUAAAGUGGGUUUGACCCCCUUUUAUGGCAUUUCAAGUUUUGUGUCCCCUUACUGAGUAUUAAACUUAACUGCAAUUGGUCUAUUUUUUAAAUUAAAGCUUUAUAGAUAUAGAUAGUAGUAGGGCUCAUCCCAACAAACUCAAAUGCAUGGAGUUCUAUUUCAGUUCAUGAUUCCCCACCCUUUCCCUUCCCAUCCUCCUCCUCUCACAUUCUCCUUUGUAGUUUUGACUUCCCUUUGCUCAUUUUUAUUAAUUUAUAUUUGAUUGGUUUUUUUCUACGUACACAUAAAGGUGAGGUUCCCUGUCAUGUGUUCAUAUAUGCACAUAAUGUGAUUUUGGGGGAUUACCAGGGAUUGAACCAGGGGUACUUAACCACUGAGCAACACCCCUAGCCCAUUUUUUAUUUUGAAAGGGUCUUGCUUAGAGCCUUGAUAAGUUGCUGAGGCUGAUCUGAAUUUGCAAUCCUCUUGCCUUGGCCUCCCAAGCCACUGCACCUGGCUGUUUUCUAAGAGUUCAUUCUGCAUUGCUUUCCCUUAGCCAUCCUAUCAUUUCCUCCCCAUUUCCUAUAUUUUAACUCUAGCUUCUACAUAAAACAAUAAACUUUCUAACAUGCAAUUUAAACUAAUUUUGUUUGCAGACUGACAUCAAUUUGCCAUAUCUUACAAUGGAUGCUUCUGGACCCAAGCAUUUGAAUAUGAAGCUGACCCGGGCUCAAUUUGAAGGGAUUGUCACUGAUUUAAUCAAGAGGACCAUUGCUCCAUGUCAAAAAGCUAUGCAGGAUGCAGAAGUCAGCAAAAGUGACAUAGGAGAAGUGAUUCUUGUUGGUGGUAUGACUAGAAUGCCCAAGGUGUGAACCCAUGGAAUUCUUGGCUUGGAGAAAAGGGGGGCCAGCAUGUAAACUGCCAGGGUGACUUAAGAGGGAUGUGAUUGUGUCCUCACUAGAGACUUUUUGGCUUUUUUAGUUAAAGGGAAGCAGAAUGUCUUUGAGAACUGUCCCAUGGAGUUGCUGUUAUCACUGAAGUUUUAUCCCCAUCUCGUAUUUAUUUAUUUGGUACUAGGGAUUGAACCCAGGGGUGCUUAACCACUGAAACACAUUCACUUUUUUAUAUUUUAUUUAGAGACAAAGUCUCCCUGAGUUCUGAGGCUGACUUUGAACUAGUGAUCCUCCUGGCUCAGUCUCCCAAGCCUCUGAGAUUAAGGCAUGCACCACCAUACCUGGCAGGAUAUAUGUCUUUACAGUUUAGUGCCUAGUGUUUGAUAGUCUGAAUUAGAAUUAUUCUGGGUUCUGAAUUAGUGAUCUUUGGUAUUUUCUUAGUUUUUCUGUUGAAGUAUUUGGGCUCAGGAAAAGAGCACAAAAUUAAUGGUGGGGGGUUCUGGGACAAGAGGAGUCCUGAAUUUUAACAACUUAUUCAUGGUCCUAUUCUAGUUGUACUGAUUAGUCCUAAUAAACCGAAGAAUGUGCCCCAUGUUAGCAACAGUUUUAUUAUGUUGCUUCCAUUAUUUGGUCUUCAGUUAAUAGGACUUGGAUGACAAAAUUUUAAGUCCCCUUGCCUUAACACCAUCUGUUUAAAAUGAUUUCAUUAAUGUGCAGGAAACGAGAUAAUAAAUAUUAGGGAUAUUUAGUAAUAAAGGAUAUCAAAUAUAAAAGGGCAGUGAGUGAGAAACUCUGGUUAAAGAAUGCAUUAACAAGAAUUCAACUAUGAAAUAAUUUUAGUAGAAUUCUGUCUUUAGAUCUGAUUGGCUUAAUUGGAGAACACGAUAUUCAGGUUUUCAUUACCUACCAAAUUAAGUUUGUGUUUUAAUUGGAGAAUAUUGUGUUGUCCACUUGAGUUCUCCAUCUUAAGUUUUCUGUCUCACUCUUAUCGGACAAUUACCCUAAAUAUUGGCUGGCAUUUUUCUUCUUAAUGCUCAGGUUCAGCAAACUGUGCAAGAUCUUUUUGGCCGAGCCCCAAGUAAAGCUGUUAAUCCUGAUGAAGCUGUGGCCAUUGGAGCUGCCAUUCAAGGAGGUGUAUUGGCUGGUGAUGUCACAGAUGUACUGCUCCUGGAUGUCACGCCUUUGUCUCUGGGCAUUGAGACUCUGGGAGGUGUCUUUACCAAACUUAUUAAUAGAAACACCACUAUUCCAACCAAGAAGAGUCAGGUAAGAGCUCUCCUUCUCUUUGCCUCAUCACAGAAGUAUUAUCUCUCUAUAUUUCUGAAAAACUGCAGCUAUUGCUGCAUUUGUGCAAUGAUGUUUUUGUCAACACAUCAUUCUGAAGGAAAAAGUAUGUGAUGACAUCCUAUGACUGAGCACAUAAUAACAUCUGGUUUUUGUCUUUAACACCUUCUGUGCUAAUGCUAUAUCUAUAAGGAGAGUUUUAAUUAGAUUGUCAACCUGUGAUGCACUGUUCCCCAGGUGUUUUCUACUGCUGCUGAUGGACAGACUCAAGUGGAAAUUAAAGUGUGUCAAGGUGAGAGAGAGAUGGCUGGAGACAACAAACUUCUUGGACAGUUUACUUUGGUAGGUAUUGAAAAAUCUGAAAAUUGUGUUCUCCAAUUGCUUCAUUCUAAAGUUAGAUAGUACUCCAGAUCCUAUAAACUGCUGACAUAUAUAGGAUGAAUUCUGCAAUCCAUGCCUUUGGUGUUUAUCAGAGCCUUAGAAAUUUCAUCAAGUACUUUAUAAAAUGUUUCUUCUAAUCAUGUAAGAGUCAUUUGAUGAUGUUACUGGCUUUUGAUCAGUAUUGCUUGUUGUUCUUAAUGAUAUGAACUACAGUGGAGAGGUUUCCUAUCAUUCACCAUGUCCCCAGAUAAAUAUAGCCAUUAUAGUUAUUCACUGUAAAUCUAACUAAACUUCACAAAUAUAAAGCCCUGUUGAUUUCAUGCAGCAAUGAAGCUACCACCCUCACUUUUAUAAACUCAUGGUUUUGUGCACUGUGUGAAGGUAUCACUUGUUCCUUCCAGGAAGCAAAUAAUUUGUUUACCUAAUGAUCAUAUAGUUGUGACAAUAGGAGCACUGGACCUCCUGUUAAAGGAUCUUACUCUGAGUAUUGCUUACUUUAGAUUGGAAUUCCCCCUGCCCCUCGUGGAGUCCCUCAGAUUGAAGUUACCUUUGAUAUUGAUGCCAAUGGGAUCGUACAUGUUUCUGCAAAAGACAAGGGCACUGGACGUGAGCAGCAGAGUAAGUCCUUAUCAGUUAAGUGUAAGAUGAGGGACCUCUGUUGGGAAUUAGAUCCUGUUUUCUUCUCUGUCCUGAGGGCAGAAUGAGUCUUCUUUACAAGUAUAAUGUUUUUCAGGGAAUGGGGGCAAAUAGGUAAGCAGUGAGCCCCCUGGUGAAUUUUAAGUAGGAAAAAGUAAACCAGUUGACCUUGGCCAGAGGAAGAACGGGUAUGUAAUUUUACCAAAGAGCUAAUAGAUGUUUUUUCUUACAGUUGUAAUCCAGUCCUCUGGUGGAUUAAGUAAAGAUGAUAUUGAAAAUAUGGUUAAAAAUGCAGAGAAGUAUGCUGAAGAAGACCGGCGAAAGAAGGUAAUUGCUUUUGUUUGUCUUGGCUUUUUUUUUUUUUUUUUUUUUUAAUGUUGGUAGAUGGGCACAGUACCUUUAUUCAUUUCAAUUUUAUUUGAUGUUGAGGAUCAAACCCAGUACCUCACAAAUGCUAGGCAAGUAUUCCACCACUGAGCUACAACCCCAGCCCAUCUUCUUGGCUUCUUAAUUUUAGUAAAGCUGACACAUGGAAGUAGAGUUGAACAUUUGGCUGAAUUCUUUUACCACUAUCUUCACCUUUGCUUAUUACUCAGAUCUCUUUUGCUUUCAUAUAGGGUCUUUUUAUGGUCCCAAACUCUUGGGCUCAAAUAAUGUCCCACUUAGCUACCUGAGUAGCUGGGAUAUAGGUAUGCAUGACAACACCCUUGCUUGAAAUGUUUUUUCUUAGUCUUCUAUCAGAAUUCUUAUGAAAAGAGUCUAGCUCAAACCUCUCUCAGAGUUUUGAUUGGAAAAACAUUUGUAUUAAACUUUUCAUUUCUCUAAGGAACGAGUUGAAGCAGUUAACAUGGCUGAAGGAAUCAUUCAUGACACAGAAACCAAGAUGGAAGAAUUCAAGGACCAAUUACCUGCUGAUGAGGUAAACUGUUCUCAAACAAUUGAAGAGAUUGGGGGAAUUAUCACCACUGAGUGAAGUUUGUUUUUCUGUGUAUCAUGAUAUAAGUAAUCAGUUUUUUAAGUGUUCUGAAUAUUACUGCAACACAUAAUGGGACAGAAGACCUGAGAAAAUGAAAAUUUUUGUCUUUUUUUAAGUGCAACAAACUUAAAGAAGAGAUAUCCAAAAUGAGGGAGCUCCUGGCUCGAAAAGACAGUGAAACGGGAGAAAACAUCAGGCAGGCAGCAUCCUCCCUUCAGCAGGCAUCAUUAAAGCUCUUUGAAAUGGCAUACAAAAAGGUACAAGGGCUGACGGGUAUUUUGAUCCUGAUUACUUUUCUUGUAACUUUUUUAAAUUACUGUUACUGGUGUUCUUCUCUCCAUGUCAUUUAUGGAAUUGAGAAUAGGAUUUUAAAACAUCUCCUGCCAUCUUGAUUCUAUUUAGGGAAUGAUGAUAGUGUCAAAGGAAUCGGGAAAGCACUAGUGUAGGGGAUGGAACAGGAGUGCACGGGAUGAGACUCCUUUGUUUUGGUGUUGAAGUAUUAGCUUAAUAUUCUGAAUGGGUAUCAAAUGUUUUCUUAACAGAUGGCAUCUGAGAGAGAAGGCUCUGGAAGUUCUGGCACUGGGGAACAAAAGGAAGAUCAAAAGGAGGAGAAACAGUAAUAGUACAUUGGAGCCAAAAAGACCACAUUCUAUAUGAAGCUUAGGAGUGAAGGCACUUCCUGAGCAGAAAUGGGCAACCUUCAGUCUUUACUGUAUUUUUGCAGUAUUCAAUAUAUAAUUUCCUUGAUAUGUAAAUUUAGUGACCAUUAGCUGAUGAACAUUUAAUGGGCAAUAAUUCUAUGCAGUACAAAGUUCACAAUGUUCUCUCCCUGGCCUGUUAAUUUUCAGCUGCAUGUGAAAGGGUUAGGGGUAGACGAUUUACUAAUCAUUAUAAAGACUUCCUGUUGGUUUGUGCUAAAGUGGCAAUAUUUUCAAGGUGUGAAACUAUAUCAAACACAAUAAAGGAGAUGUACCAUAAUAACCUGGAAUGAGACCAUAAUGAGGAUGAAGAUCCUAGUUGGUCAAGAGCACUGCUGUAAUAGCCGAUGUGUACUCGGGGUCCUUCGGCUGAGGCCUUGAAGCACAAGAGAGCUAGCUGUGCUAAGGUUGUAGUAGGUGGGACAGAGGAAGCUGGUCAGUGGAAAACUAAGCUAUUUAUGUUAGGUAGCUUAAAAUAAGGUAGUUCUUAAAUCCCUAAUGUUCCUAAGGCAUACUUUUCUAGCUACCCUCUGGCCCAUCUGGCACCUACCUACAUCCUUGAGAUUGUUCUUUCUGAUCCAUUCUGGAUUUUUAAAAAAAUAAAUAUGAAAAAUAUCUUGAUUUCUUGUUUUUAUGGUGUGAGCUGCAGUUUAGCUUCAGGACUAUGACAUGUCACACUUUCCAUAUUUUCCAAGGAAGAAAACGGGAUUUUCUAGCACUGGGUAAAGAGACGAACAAAUCCAAAGAUUCAGAAGGAUUGGUAUAAAAAGUCACAGGCAAAUUUUAGAUGUCUAUUACAAAAACCAGGUCUUUUUAUUCAGGUUGCUGUCAGCUUAGAAAUGUAUACAACCAAGCCUGGCUUACUUGAAGAAACUGAUAUAUAGUAGUCAUAAGAUGUAUUUUGAGUGAUUUCAAAAAUAAGGAACCCAGAUUCUUGAUCUGUUUGUGCUUUCCCAUCCUCAGUGUAUUGGCUUGUCCCAAAUUUCGAUGUCACAUGCCAAUGACUUAAGUGAUAUUGUUCGAAUGUCUCAUUAAGUAGAAUUAUUUCCCAUGUCUCUGAACAUACUUCUCUUUGAAUUUCAUGGAUACUUAAGUAAACUUAUACCAUGUAACAUAGCUCCUUUAUAAUUUAAUGGUAUUUAGAAAUGCAGGGUUCUGUUGGGGGAGGUGUAUUUUGGAUAGGGGUCUCACUAAAUUGCUAAGAGCCUCAGCGUCUUGUGAUUACAGGCAUGUACCACCAUGCCUAUCAGAAAUUUCCAUUUUUAAGGUCAAUACAAGAAAUCAGUUCAAUGCCCUACUGUGGAGGAAGUGAGUGAUUUCUACAUUGCAUAACUAGAAAAUUCACUUGUCUACUUCGUAACACCCAUGUGAAAAUUAUUAGGAUUUGUGUGAGUUGAUACUCAGGUUUUCAGCCACAUGAACACUUGAUAGGGACCUACAAUGAUUCUGUCAUAAAAGAUGGUUUAUUAUGUUGGAAGAUGCUUUUCUGAUUGACCUCUGCUGUGUUCAGAUCAGUAUGGUAGCUAAACUGUUCUCUAAGAUUUCCAAGUACCCUGACUGAUCAUUAAUAGCAUGUUUUAAUCAAGGUUUACCCUUGAGACUGAAGCAUGCCCUGAACAGAAUCUGGGUUCUACUGGAAAGGGUACUUGAGUAGAUGUCCUAUUGUCUUAAGGUGCCCAGUGGGAGAAAUAAAACACAUUGAACUGUAAUUCAGUUCUCUCUCAAUCUAAGCUGUAAUAGCAUAAAAAAUUUCAUUAGGAUUUCCCAGAGAUAUAAACUCAUAGGAUAUUAUAUAGUCUGAGGCUCACUAUAAGAAAUUUGCUUAUAAUUAAAGUUGCUCAAACCAAAACCUGCAGUCAUCAAAUCUUACCAAAGUAUGUAAAGAAUUACCAUCUCUACUAUUUUUAUUGUAAAUUACCUUGGAUUACCCUGAGUUUUGACCAGUCUAUCCACUUAAACCAUUGCUAUAUUGGUACAUUGGUAUUUUCUCACAGCAGUGAGAUGGCACUCCCCUUCUCUAAGCUCUUCCCAAGGCCUACAGGCUUCACAUCAUGUGGCCCCUCAUUACCACUUUACUCCUUUCUCCCAAAUUUUAUCUUCUGGCUUUUAUCCCUUGAUGGAACAGUCUCAACAUUUCCAUUUGACUCACCUAUCACUUUUUUUUUUUUGAGAAAGAGAAAUAUAAAAAUAGCCCCCCCUUCUCAAGUUUGUCAUUUCCUAUUCCUACUCUCCUCUUAGCAUUUUUUACUAUUCAAUUUGUCCUUUCCCCACCUAAAAUGUAAGCUACAUUAACACCAAAAAUUGUUCAUUGACAAUGUAUCUGCACCCAGAAUAAUUCCUAGCACAUAAACACUAAAAUAUUUCAAAAUACCUCUACUGUCCAAAAUUCAGAGUGGCUUUACAUUUCCAUUUUAGAAAUUAAAGCCUUUUGGUUAUUGAUUUAUAAAUUACAUCCUUGUCUGCCAAACUCACAAUGGGGGUGGGGGAGCUUAUACCAAAUUUAAUUGAUAAUGUGCUGUGGAUCAAAUUUUUGCGUUCAUGUAUGCUUCUCUCCAUCUCCAGGCCAAGAUAAAAGGUGAAUUUGGGUUCAUUUUAAAUUGGGGUCUUCCACAUUGCCCAGGCUAUUAUAAUUUUAUGAGCCCAGGUAAUCCUUUCCCAGCCUCUGUAGUUGGAACUACAGGCAUGUGUCACCAUGGCCAACAAGAUGAAAAGGCUCAUCUCAAACUUGCAAGUCUCCUUUCUCAGCCUCCCAAAUAGCUAAGGUUACACUUUAGCUGGGAUUAUUGGUGUGUGCCAUUCUUUUUAAGUACCAAGGUUUGAACCCAGGGGGCCCUUAACCCCUGAGCCACAUCUCCAGCAUUUUUCCUUGAGACAGGGUCUCACCAAAUUUCUUAGGGACUCACUCAGUUGCUGAGGCUGGCUGUGAACUUGCAAUCUUUCUGCCUCAGCCUCCUGAGCCAUUGGGAUUAAAAGUUUGCACCACCCUGCUCAGCCAUAUUAUUUUCCCAAGAAUGUAUGAAAUUAAAAAAAAAAAAUCAACUGAGGUAAAUGGCAUACAUUUUUUUUUUUUUAAGAUCAUACAAGGGAAGUCUGCAUGGCUCAUGAAUGCACAAAUGCCAGUUAUGAGAGAUUGAGGCUACAAGGUCUGUCUUUUUUCCUCUCUUGCCUGCUGCCCUUCUGUUUGGAUUAUGCAGCAAUGCUUCCCCCGCCCCCAUUUGGUGACACUGGGGAUUGAACCCAGGACCUCAUGAUAGAAAAACACUAUAUACCUGAGCUAAACCCAGAGCACUUUUAAAAAUUUAGAACAGGGUUUCACUAAAUUGCCCAGGCUGGCCUCAAACUUGUAAUACUCCUGCUUCAACCUCUCUAGUAGCCAGGAUUACAUCACCACACUUGGUAUCAGCAAGGUGGCUCUUGAUUCUGGGAUUUCUCCACAUUGCAGAAUUGAACCAAUAUAUUCAUAAUAUAUUACCCAGUCAGUAUUGUAAUAGCAGCACAAAGUGGACUGAGAUAGGAUUGCCAUUUAUUCUGGUCAUUCCCAUUCUGUGUGCUAUCCAGAAAAACCUUGGGCCAUGUAUUUGGUUUUAAUUUUCCAGGAUAUAGCCCCCCGCAAAUUGCUGGGAUUACAGGUGUGUGCCACUGCAUCUUGCUGGGACUUAGUGAAGUUGUAAGUGCCUUAGAGAUAACCAAAUCCACAGAUACUUUUCAAACUAUUUUUUUCCACUCUACCACUGAGUAUACCCCAGCCUCAAUACAGAACUCUGGGGCUGGGGUCAUAGCUCAGUGGUGGAGCACUUGUCUUGCAUGGUGAGGCCGUGGGUUCGAUCCUCAUCACCACAUAAAAAUAAAUAAUAAAGGUAUUGUGUCAACUACAAAUAAAUAAAUAAAUAAAUAAGGUAUUGUGUCAACUACAACUAAAAAAACUUAAUAAAGGUUUUGUGUCCACCUACAAGUGAAAAAAUAUUUAAAAAUUCUAAAAAUAUAUAGAACUCUCUGGACAGGCAUGGUGGUGCACGCCUGUAAUCCCAGCAGCUCAUGAGGGUGAGGCAGGAGGAUGGAGUUCAAAGCCAGCUUCAGCAACGUUGAGGCGUUAAGCAACUCAGUGGUAUCUCUUUCUAAAUAAAAUACAAAAUAGGGCUGGGAGGGCGUUGGGGUUGUGGCUCAGUGAUAGAGUGCUCACCUAGCACAUGAAAGGC
rnacentral:lncRNA from 1 species